rnacentral:rRNA from 1 species
CAUAGGUUAAUGAGGCGAACCGGGGGAACUGAAACAUCUAAGUACCCCGAGGAAAAGAAAUCAACCGAGAUUCCCCCAGUAGCGGCGAGCGAACGGGGAGCAGCCCAGAGCCUGAAUCAGUGUGUGUGUUAGUGGAAGCGUCUGGAAAGGCGCGCGAUACAGGGUGACAGCCCCGUACACAAAAAUGCACAUACUGUGAGCUCGAUGAGUAGGGCGGGACACGUGGUAUCCUGUCUGAAUAUGGGGGGACCAUCCUCCAAGGCUAAAUACUCCUGACUGACCGAUAGUGAACCAGUACCGUGAGGGAAAGGCGAAAAGAACCCCGGCGAGGGGAGUGAAAAAGAACCUGAAACCGUGUACGUACAAGCAGUGGGAGCACGCUUAGGCGUGUGACUGCGUACCUUUUGUAUAAUGGGUCAGCGACUUAUAUUCUGUAGCAAGGUUAACCGAAUAGGGGAGCCGAAGGGAAACCGAGUCUUAACUGGGCGUUAAGUUGCAGGGUAUAGACCCGAAACCCGGUGAUCUAGCCAUGGGCAGGUUGAAGGUUGGGUAACACUAACUGGAGGACCGAACCGACUAAUGUUGAAAAAUUAGCGGAUGACUUGUGGCUGGGGGUGAAAGGCCAAUCAAACCGGGAGAUAGCUGGUUCUCCCCGAAAGCUAUUUAGGUAGCGCCUCGUGAAUUCAUCUCCGGGGGUAGAGCACUGUUUCGGCAAGGGGGUCAUCCCGACUUACCAACCCGAUGCAAACUGCGAAUACCGGAGAAUGUUAUCACGGGAGACACACGGCGGGUGCUAACGUCCGUCGUGAAGAGGGAAACAACCCAGACCGCCAGCUAAGGUCCCAAAGUCAUGGUUAAGUGGGAAACGAUGUGGGAAGGCCCAGACAGCCAGGAUGUUGGCUUAGAAGCAGCCAUCAUUUAAAGAAAGCGUAAUAGCUCACUGGUCGAGUCGGCCUGCGCGGAAGAUGUAACGGGGCUAAACCAUGCACCGAAGCUGCGGCAGCGACGCUGAUGCGUUGUUGGGUAGGGGAGCGUUCUGUAAGCCUGUGAAGGUGUGCUGUGAGGCAUGCUGGA